rnacentral:tRNA from 1 species
GGAUGUUCGUGGCUCCGGACCCGGGGCUCCUCCGGCUGCGGACCGGACUGCGCGCGGUGCUCGGCAUCGCGCUCGCGGUCGCGGUCGCGGAACUGUCCG